GCGGAUUUAGCUCAGUUGGGAGAGCGCCAGACUGAAGGAAAUCUGGAGGUCCUGUGUUCGAUCCACAGAAUUCGCA
rnacentral:tRNA from 2 species